GGUCAAACAGAUUUGUGCUUCAUUAAUAUUUAGUAAAUUAAUAUUUGAAGGCUCAAGUAUAUUAUGAACGAAAUGCCAUACCAUAUAGAUGAAUGCUAAAUGUAAAUAUAAUUUCUUAAAUCACCACAUCCUCGAUUUGGCAUGUUAGAUCCCUCCUUCAUGAAUGGGCUUGGAGGAGGAAGAGGAUGAGAAGGAGAGGAAGGGAGAAGAGCCACCGAUAAGAAAUUAGUUGGAGGAGGAGGACAAGAAGCAAAAAAGGGUGGGAAGGAAGGGGAGGGAGAAGAAUGGGCUACCAACGAGAAGGGAUGGAGGUGGAAGGUGCAGCC
rnacentral:lncRNA from 1 species